rnacentral:rRNA from 1 species
AUUGAACGCUGGCGGCAGGCCUAACACAUGCAAGUCGAACGCUCCGCAAGGGGAGUGGCGCACGGGUGAGUAACACGUGGGAACCUACCUUCUGGUACGGAACAACCAAGGGAAACUUUGGCUAAGACCGUAUACGACCUCCGGGUGAAAGAUUGAUCGCCGGAAGAGGGGCCCGCGUCCGAUUAGGUAGUUGGUGAGGUAACGGCUCACCAAGCCUUCGAUCGGUAGCUGGUCUGAGAGGAUGACCAGCCACACUGGGACUGAGACACGGCCCACGACUCCUACGGGAGGCAGCAGUGGGGAAUAUUGGACAAUGGGCGCAAGCCUGAUCCAGCCAUGCCGCGUGAGUGAUGAAGGCCUUCGGUUGUAAG